rnacentral:rRNA from 1 species
UACGUAGGGUGCAAGCGUUGCCCGGAUUUAUUGGGCGUAAAGGGCGCGUAGGCGGCGCGGGAAGUCCGUGGUGAAAGCCCGAGGCUCAACUUCGGGUCGGCCAUGGAUACUCCUGGGCUUGAGCACUGUAGAGGCAGGUGGAAUUCCGGGUGUAGCGGUGGAAUGCGUAGAGAUCCGGAAGAACACCGGUGGCGAAGGCGGCCUGCUGGGCAGUAGCUGACGCUGAGGCGCGACAGCGUGGGGGAGCAAACAGG